AUUUCCAGGACUCCCGCAGCAUCUCCCCUGCUCAGCCAUGCUCCUGUUGCUCAUCCCAGGACUGGGUGUGAUUUUUGCCCUGAGAGAUGCCGGAGCACAGUCAGUGACCCAGCCUGAUGUCCAUGUCACAGUCUCUGAAGGAGCCUUUCUGGAAUUGAGAUGUAAUUAUUCCUAUGCUACAACUCCUUAUCUCUUCUGGUAUGUCCAGUAUCCCAGCCAAGGCCUCCAGCUUCUCCUUGGGUACUUUUCAGGGGAAACCCUGGUUAAAGGCAUCAAAGGCUUUGAGGCUGAAUUUAGAAAGAGUGACUCUUCCUUCCACCUGAGGAAACCCUCUGUGCAUUUGAGUGACGCCGCUGAGUACUUCUGUGCUGUGAGUGACACAGUGCCUGGGAGUGCAGGGGGAGCUGAACACAAACUUGGUUACAUUCUCUACUAUCUCUGAGAAGUUGAUUAUUGUUACGAGAUUUAAGGUCACCAGCUCACUUUCAUGGCCGAAAAUGUCUGCAAGUGGGUACUUUAUAAGUAUGUAUGAGAAGGAGAAAUAUCCAUUUCUUUUAAUUCUGAACUGAAGCUUC